GCCUUCGUGGUGUAAUGGUCAGUACACUCGGCACGUAUUCGAGAGGUCUGAGGUUCGAGUCCCGGCGAGGGCA
rnacentral:tRNA from 1 species